GAAAAUGCUGCUUCUACCCUCACUAAAGAUCCAAAAUUUCUACUGGCUGCAAGUCAUCUUCAAUGGUAAGACUUCGUACUCAAUAUCAGUUUCUGCCCACCAACAGAGGAAGAUAUUCCAGAAGAAAAGAAUAAUCUUGAGGAUGAUUCAAACUUCCGCAUUUCCAGGAUAAAAACUUUGAUGAAGAUGACGCUCAAUCAAGGACAACAACAUCAUUGGACUUUAUCUAGAAGGAUGUUAGUAAUGUAGGGUUAUUGUAAUGUUUUGGUUUUGGCUAUUUGGUUAUUGUAACUUUUUAAUGUUUUGGUUAUAUGGU